AUGGUGGCAGGGGUCGAAGCGGCAGCUGAGGUGGCGGCAAUGGAGAUCAAAAUGCAGGAAGAAAGCAGUGCGCCCAUAGUGCCGAGCGGCAAUGGGGCUCCAGGCCCUAAGGGUGAAGGAGUACGACCUCCUCAGAACGAAAAGAGGAAGGAGAAAAACAUAAAAAGAGGAGGCAAUUGCUUUGUGCCAUAUGCCAAUCCAACUAAAAGGUACAGAGCCUUCAUUACAAACGUACCUUUUGAUGUGAAAUGGCAGUCAGUUAAAGACCUGGUUAAAGAAAAAGUUGGUGAGGUUACAUACGUGGAGCUCUUAAUGGAUGCUGAAGGAAAAUCAAGGGGAUGUGCUAUUGUUGAAUUCAAGACAGAAGAGAGCAUGAAAAAAGUGCAGAAGUCCUAAACAAGCAAAGUCUGAGUGGAAGACCCCUGAAAGUCAAAGAAGAUCCUGAUGGGGAACAUGCCAGGAGAGCAAUGCAAAAGCUGGAUUAUACAGUUGGCUUGAAGAAACUGAAGGAAGUUUUUAGUAUGGCUAGUGUGGUGGUCCGGGCAGACAUUCUUGAGGAUAAAGAUGGAAAAAGUCAUGGAAUAGGCACUGUUACAUUUGAACAGUCCAUCGAAGCUGUGCAAGCUAUAUCUAUGUUCAAUGGCCAAGUGAACAUAGACCAAUGCAUGUCAAAAUGGAUGAGAGGGCCUUACCAAAGGGAGAUUUUUUUCCCUCCUGAGCGUCCACAACAACUUCCUCACGGCCUUGGUGGCAUUGGCAUGGGGUUAGGACUAGGAGGGCAGCCUAUCGAUGCCAAUCACCUGAAUAAAGGCAUUGGCAUGGGAAUCUUAGGACCUGCAGGAAUGGGAAGGGAAGGCAUAGGAUUUGGAAUAAAUAAAAUGGGGGGCAUGGAAGGACCUUUUGGCAGUGGUAUGGAAAACACGGGUUGUUUUGGAUCUGGAAUGAAUAUGGGCAGAAUAAAUGAGAUGAAACGAAUGGAAAUCCUAAGUAAUGCACUGAAGAUUGGAGAGAUCAUUGCAAAGCAGGGAGGUGGAAGUAGAGGCAGUGUCCCUGGAAUCGAGAGGCUGGGCCCUGGCAUUGACCGCAUUGAUGGUGCUGGAGCACAGGGGUGCAGGCCUGGGCCAUGGCAUGGAUCGCGUGGGCUCUGAGAUUGAGCACAUGGGCCUAGUCAUGGACUGCAUGGGCUCCGGCAUAGAGUGUAUGCGCCUGCUGGGCCUCGACCACGUGGCCUCUAGCAUCGAGCGUAUGGGCCAGACCAUGGAGCGCAUUGGUUCUGCCAUGGAGCUUAUGGGCGCCGUCAUGGGCUUUGGCCUUGAGCGCAUGGCCACUCCCAUUGACCUUGUGGGCCAAACCAUUGAGCACAUGGGCUUGAGCAUGGAGUGCAUGGUGCCUGCGGGCAUGGCCAUCGGCCUAGAGCACAUGGGCGCCAACAGUCUGGAGUGCAUGGGCCCCGCCAUGGGCCCAGCCUUGGGCGCUGGCAUUGAGCGCAUGGGCCUGGCCAUGGGUGGCGGUGACGGUGCCAGCUUUGACCGUGCCACCAAGAUAGAACGUGGCAACUUUGGUGGAAGCUUCACAGGUUCCUUUCGUGGCACUGGAGGCCGUGCUCCUGGGGCAGCCAGGAAGGCCUGCCAGAUAUUUGUGAGAAUUCUCCCAUUUGAUUUUACAUCGAAGAUGCUAAAGGACAAAUUCAACGAAUGUGGCCACGUGCUGUAUGCUGACAUCAAGAUGGAGAACAGGAAGUCCAAGGGGUGCAGUGUGGUUAAGUUUGAAUCUCCAGAGGUGGCUGAGAGGGCCUGCCGGAUGAUGAAUGGCAUGAAGCUGAGUGGCCGAGAGAUUGAUGUCCGAAUUGAUAGAAACGCAUAAGCAGUUGCCUUUUUUAAACAUCGGUACCAGACCUCUGAAUUUGUAUUUUUUCUUGUUAACCAUUUUAAUUUGUUGGCUGGAUGUAUAAAGAUGUUUAAAAAAUUUAGUUGCUUUUGGGUUAAUUUGAAUUACUUUUUUAAUGACUGGGGUUCCAUUUGACUGUUUGCAUUGAGAUUGCAAUGUGCGCAAUUUUUUUUUUGUAGUUGUGGCAUCUUGUUGACAUCAAAUAUGACUUUGAUAAUAAAUACCAGUUCCUGAAAAAAAAAAAA